rnacentral:rRNA from 1 species
GAUGAACGCUGGCGGCGCGCCUAACACAUGCAAGUCGAACGAUUAAAGCACCUUCGGGUGUGUAUAAAGUGGCGAACGGCUGAGUAACACGUGGGCAACCUGCCCCUUUCAUUGGGAUAGCCACGGGAAACCGUGGAUAAUACCGAAUACUUCGAGACUUCCGCAUGGAAGACUCGAGAAAGCUCCGGCGGAGAGGGAUGGGCCCGCGGCCUGUUAGCUUGUUGGUGGGGUAACGGCCUACCAAGGCAAUGAUGGGUAGCUGGGUUGAGAGACCGACCAGCCAGAUUGGGACUGAGACACGGCCCAGACUCCUACGGGAGGCAGCAGUGGGGAAUCUUGCACAAUGGGCGAAAGCCUGAUGCAGCGACGCCGCGUGCGGGAUGAAGGCCUUCGGGUUGUAAACCGCUCUCAGCAGGGACGAGGCGAAAGUGACGGUACCUGCAGAAGAAGCCCCGGCUAACUACGUG